GACGAACGCUGGCGGCGUGCCUAAUACAUGCAAGUCGAACGAACUCUGGUAAUGAUUGGUGCUUGCAUCAUGAAUUGCAUUUGAGUGAGUGGCGAACUGGUGAGUAACACGUGGGAAACCUGCCCAGAAGCGGGGGAUAACACCUGGAAACAGAUGCUAAUACCGCAUAACAACUUGGACCGCAUGGUCCGAGUUUGAAAGAUGGCUUCGGCUAUCACUUUUGGAUGGUCCCGCGGCGUAUUAGCUAGAUGGUGAGGUAACGGCUCACCAUGGCAAUGAUACGUAGCCGACCUGAGAGGGUAAUCGGCCACAUUGGGACUGAGACACGGCCCAAACUCCUACGGGAGGCAGCAGUAGGGAAUCUUCCACAAUGGACGAAAGUCUAAUGGAGCAACGCCGCGUGAGUGAAGAAGGGUUUCGGCUCGUAAAACUCUGUUGUUAAAGAAGAACAUAUCUGAGAGUAACUGUUCAGGUAUUGACGGUAUUUAACCAGAAAGCCACGGCUAACUACGUG
rnacentral:rRNA from 2 species